UCUCAAAGAUUAAGCCAUGCAUGUCUCAGUGCAAGCCGCAUUGAAGGUGAAACCGCGAAUGGCUCAUUAAAUCAGUCAUGGUUCCUUAGAUGUUGAACGGUUACUUGGAUAACUGUGGUAAUUCUAGAGCUAAUACAUGAAACUCAGCCCCGACCCCUCGAGGGAGGGGCGCUCUUAUUAGAUCAAGACCAAUCGGCGCUUCGCGUCGUCUACCUGGUGACUCUGAAUAAGACUCCGAUCGCACGGUCUCGUACCGGCGACGCAUCUUUCAAAUGUCUGCCUUAUCAACUGUCGAUGGUAGGUUCUUCGCCUACCAUGGUCUUAACGGGUAACGGAGAAUCAGGGUUCGAUUCCGGAGAGGGAGCCUGAGAAACGGCUACCACAUCCAAGGAAGGCAGCAGGCGCGCAAAUUACCCACUCCCGGCACGGGGAGGUAGUGACGAAAAAUAACGAUACGGGACUCAUCCGAGGCCCCGUGAUCGGAAUGAGCACACUUUAGAUCCUUGGACGAGGAUCAAUUGGAGGGCAAGUCUGGUGCCAGCAGCCGCGGUAAUUCCAGCUCCAAUAGCGUAUAUUAAAGUUGUUGCGGUUAAAAAGCUCGUAGUCGGACCUGUGUCUCACGCUGCCGGUUCACCGCUCGUCGGUGUCAAACUGGCACGCCUGUGCAGACGUCCUGCCGGUGGUCCGAGCCGUGGGGGCCUUCAAAAGCUGCCGCGGGGAGGACCUACGUUAACCCGUCGCGGUGCUCUUAACCGAGUGUCUCGUCGGGCCGGCACGUUUACUUUGAACAAAUUAGAGUGCUCAAAGCAGGCAUCUACCGCCUGAAUAUCGGUGCAUGGAAUAAUGGAAUAGGACCUCGGUUCUAUUUUGUUGGUCUUCGGAAUACCCGAGGUAAUGAUCAAUAGGGACAGACGGGGGCAUUCGUACUGCGACGUUAGAGGUGAAAUUCUUGGAUCGUCGCAAGACGGACAGAAGCGAAAGCAUUUGCCAAGAAUGUUUUCUCUGAUCAAGAACGAAAGUUAGAGGUGCGAAGGCGAUCAGAUACCGCCCUAGUUCUAACCAUAAACGAUGCCAUCGAGCAAUCCGCCGCAGUUCCUCCGAUGACUCGGCGGGCGGCUUACGGGAAACCAAAGAUUUUGGGUUCCGGGGGAAGUAUGGUUGCAAAGCUGAAACUUAAAGGAAUUGACGGAAGGGCACCACCAGGAAUGGAGCUUGCGGCUUAAUUUGACUCAACACGGGGCAACUUAUCAGGUCCGGACACUGGGAGGAUUGACAGAUUGAGAGCUCUUUCUUGAUUCAGUGGGUGGUGGUGCAUGUCCGUUCUUCGUUGGUGGAGCAAUCUGUCUGCUUAAUUGCGAUAACGAACGAGAUUCUAGCCUGCUAACUAGUCGCUUCCGGUAUCCUUCGUGCUACCGGCGACAUGAAAUCUUCUUAGAGGGACAGGCGGUUUUCAACCGCACGAAACUGAGCAAUAACAGGUCUGUGAUGCCCUUAGAUGUCCUGGGCCGCACGCGUGCUACAAUGAAGGGAUCAGCGUGUCCUCCCAGCCCGAGCGGGCCGGGUAACCCGCUGAAACCCCUUCGUGAUAGGGAUUGGGGCUUGUAACUAUUCCCCAUGAACGAGGAAUUCCUAGUAAGCGCGAGUCAUCAACUCGUGCUGAUUAUGUCCCUGCCCUUUGUACACACCGCCCGUCGCUACUACCGAUUGAAUGAUUUAGUGAGGUCUUCGGACCGUCGGGCGCGGGGGUUCGCACCCCGGCGAUUUCGACGGGAAGAUGCCCGAACUUGAUCAUUUAGAGGAAGUAAAAGUCGUAACAAGGUUUCC
rnacentral:rRNA from 1 species